UUAAGCGACUAAGCGUACACGGUGGAUGCCCUGGCAGUCAGAGGCGAUGAAGGACGUGCUAAUCUGCGAUAAGCGUCGGUAAGGUGAUAUGAACCGUUAUAACCGGCGAUUUCCGAAUGGGGAAACCCAGUGUGUUUCGACACACUAUCAUUAACUGAAUCCAUAGGUUAAUGAGGCGAACCGGGGGAACUGAAACAUCUAAGUACCCCGAGGAAAAGAAAUCAACCGAGAUUCCCCCAGUAGCGGCGAGCGAACGGGGAGCAGCCCAGAGCCUGAAUCAGUGUGUGUGUUAGUGGAAGCGUCUGGAAAGGCGCGCGAUACAGGGUGACAGCCCCGUACACAAAAAUGCACAUGCUGUGAGCUCGAUGAGUAGGGCGGGACACGUGGUAUCCUGUCUGAAUAUGGGGGGACCAUCCUCCAAGGCUAAAUACUCCUGACUGACCGAUAGUGAACCAGUACCGUGAGGGAAAGGCGAAAAGAACCCCGGCGAGGGGAGUGAAAAAGAACCUGAAACCGUGUACGUACAAGCAGUGGGAGCACGCUUAGGCGUGUGACUGCGUACCUUUUGUAUAAUGGGUCAGCGACUUAUAUUCUGUAGCAAGGUUAACCGAAUAGGGGAGCCGAAGGGAAACCGAGUCUUAACUGGGCGUUAAGUUGCAGGGUAUAGACCCGAAACCCGGUGAUCUAGCCAUGGGCAGGUUGAAGGUUGGGUAACACUAACUGGAGGACCGAACCGACUAAUGUUGAAAAAUUAGCGGAUGACUUGUGGCUGGGGGUGAAAGGCCAAUCAAACCGGGAGAUAGCUGGUUCUCCCCGAAAGCUAUUUAGGUAGCGCCUCGUGAAUUCAUCUCCGGGGGUAGAGCACUGUUUCGGCAAGGGGGUCAUCCCGACUUACCAACCCGAUGCAAACUGCGAAUACCGGAGAAUGUUAUCACGGGAGACACACGGCGGGUGCUAACGUCCGUCGUGAAGAGGGAAACAACCCAGACCGCCAGCUAAGGUCCCAAAGUCAUGGUUAAGUGGGAAACGAUGUGGGAAGGCCCAGACAGCCAGGAUGUUGGCUUAGAAGCAGCCAUCAUUUAAAGAAAGCGUAAUAGCUCACUGGUCGAGUCGGCCUGCGCGGAAGAUGUAACGGGGCUAAACCAUGCACCGAAGCUGCGGCAGCGACGCUUAUGCGUUGUUGGGUAGGGGAGCGUUCUGUAAGCCUGUGAAGGUGUGCUGUGAGGCAUGCUGGAGGUAUCAGAAGUGCGAAUGCUGACAUAAGUAACGAUAAAGCGGGUGAAAAGCCCGCUCGCCGGAAGACCAAGGGUUCCUGUCCAACGUUAAUCGGGGCAGGGUGAGUCGACCCCUAAGGCGAGGCCGAAAGGCGUAGUCGAUGGGAAACAGGUUAAUAUUCCUGUACUUGGUGUUACUGCGAAGGGGGGACGGAGAAGGCUAUGUUGGCCGGGCGACGGUUGUCCCGGUUUAAGCGUGUAGGCUGGUUUUCCAGGCAAAUCCGGAAAAUCAAGGCUGAGGCGUGAUGACGAGGCACUACGGUGCUGAAGCAACAAAUGCCCUGCUUCCAGGAAAAGCCUCUAAGCAUCAGGUAACAUCAAAUCGUACCCCAAACCGACACAGGUGGUCAGGUAGAGAAUACCAAGGCGCUUGAGAGAACUCGGGUGAAGGAACUAGGCAAAAUGGUGCCGUAACUUCGGGAGAAGGCACGCUGAUAUGUAGGUGAAGUCCCUUGCGGAUGGAGCUGAAAUCAGUCGAAGAUACCAGCUGGCUGCAACUGUUUAUUAAAAACACAGCACUGUGCAAACACGAAAGUGGACGUAUACGGUGUGACGCCUGCCCGGUGCCGGAAGGUUAAUUGAUGGGGUCAGCGCAAGCGAAGCUCUUGAUCGAAGCCCCGGUAAACGGCGGCCGUAACUAUAACGGUCCUAAGGUAGCGAAAUUCCUUGUCGGGUAAGUUCCGACCUGCACGAAUGGCGUAAUGAUGGCCAGGCUGUCUCCACCCGAGACUCAGUGAAAUUGAACUCGCUGUGAAGAUGCAGUGUACCCGCGGCAAGACGGAAAGACCCCGUGAACCUUUACUAUAGCUUGACACUGAACAUUGAGCCUUGAUGUGUAGGAUAGGUGGGAGGCUUAGAAGUGUGGACGCCAGUCUGCAUGGAGCCGACCUUGAAAUACCACCCUUUAAUGUUUGAUGUUCUAACGUUGACCCGUAAUCCGGGUUGCGGACAGUGUCUGGUGGGUAGUUUGACUGGGGCGGUCUCCUCCUAAAGAGUAACGGAGGAGCACGAAGGUUGGCUAAUCCUGGUCGGACAUCAGGAGGUUAGUGCAAUGGCAUAAGCCAGCUUGACUGCGAGCGUGACGGCGCGAGCAGGUGCGAAAGCAGGUCAUAGUGAUCCGGUGGUUCUGAAUGGAAGGGCCAUCGCUCAACGGAUAAAAGGUACUCCGGGGAUAACAGGCUGAUACCGCCCAAGAGUUCAUAUCGACGGCGGUGUUUGGCACCUCGAUGUCGGCUCAUCACAUCCUGGGGCUGAAGUAGGUCCCAAGGGUAUGGCUGUUCGCCAUUUAAAGUGGUACGCGAGCUGGGUUUAGAACGUCGUGAGACAGUUCGGUCCCUAUCUGCCGUGGGCGCUGGAGAACUGAGGGGGGCUGCUCCUAGUACGAGAGGACCGGAGUGGACGCAUCACUGGUGUUCGGGUUGUCAUGCCAAUGGCACUGCCCGGUAGCUAAAUGCGGAAGAGAUAAGUGCUGAAAGCAUCUAAGCACGAAACUUGCCCCGAGAUGAGUUCUCCCUGACCCUUUAAGGGUCCUGAAGGAACGUUGAAGACGACGACGUUGAUAGGCCGGGUGUGUAAGCGCAGCGAUGCGUUGAGCUAACCGGUACUAAUGAACCGUGAGGCUUAACCUU
rnacentral:rRNA from 1 species